GACGAACGCUGGCAGCGUGCUUAACACAUGCAAGUCGAACGGAAAGGCCCUGCUUUUGUGGGGUGCUCGAGUGGCGAACGGGUGAGUAACACGUGAGUAACCUGCCCUUGACUUUGGGAUAACUUCAGGAAACUGGGGCUAAUACCGGAUAGGAGCUCCUGCUGCAUGGUGGGGGUUGGAAAGUUUCGGCGGUUGGGGAUGGACUCGCGGCUUAUCAGCUUGUUGGUGGGGUAGUGGCUUACCAAGGCUUUGACGGGUAGCCGGCCUGAGAGGGUGACCGGCCACAAUGGGACUGAGAUACGGCCCAGACUCCUACGGGAGGCAGAAGUGGGGAAUAUUGCACAAUGGGCGGAAGCCUGAUGCAGCAACGCCGCGUGCGGGAUGACGGCCUUCGGGUUGUAAACCGCUUUCGCCUGUGACGAAGCGUGAGUGACGGUAAUGGGUAAAGAAGCACCGGCUAACUACGUG
rnacentral:rRNA from 1 species